GUGCCAGCAGCCGCGGUAACACCGGCGGCCCGAGUGGUAACCGCUUUUAUUGGGUCUAAAGGGUCUGUAGCCGGCCAAGUAAGUCCCUUGGGAAAUCUGGCAGCUUAACUGUCAGGCUGCUAGGGGAUACUGCUAGGCUUGGGACCGGGAGAGGUGAGAGGUACCUUGGGGGUAGGGGUGAAAUCUUGUGAUCCUCGGGGGACCACCAGUGGCGAAGGCGUCUCACCAGAACGGGUCCGACGGUAAGGGACGAAAGCUAGGGGCACGAACCGGAUUAGAUACCCGGGUAGUCCUAGCCGUAAACGAUGCUCGCUAGGUGUCAGUCACGGUGCGACCGUGAUUGGUGCCGUAGGGAAGCCGUGAAGCGAGCCACCUGGGAAGUAUGGCCGCAAGGCUGAA
rnacentral:rRNA from 1 species